GUUGCUUCCAUGUCCUGGCUCUUAUUGUAAACAGGGCUGCAGUGAACACUGGGGUGCAUGUAUUCUUCUGAAUCAUGAACAUGUCCUUUUUGAUGGAAUAAACCUUUAAUUAAUAGAUGUUCAGAUGAUCAUGCCCCAUAUUACCAGUGUGUACCUCCCCUUUCUCAUGAAGACCCUUACCAAGGUAAAGUCUGGCAAACUUCAUCAAUGAGAAGACAAGAUUCUGAAUUCUAGUGACCCAGAUGAACUGAAAAACUUUUUCUUUAAUUUUCCUGGACUUCCCUGAACCUUUGAGGAAGGCAGAAAAAGUCUUUGCCUCAUGCAUUGUUUUCUUCAGGUGACACCAUCUGGGAAUACAGAUAGCCAUCAGGGACCACCAGACCACUUCUUUUGGUACCUGCAAGAGUAACUUCUCUUCUCAGCCACAAAUAGGUUCUUUCUUUUCAAACCCUUGCAGAGACCAUAUUUCCAAUAUCCCAACACGCCCGAGGUCAGAGAUUGUUGAUCAGUGGCCAGUUGUACCUUGGGUCUUAGUCUGAGUUAUGAAGGAGGAUGAAGUCAGGAAGAGCUCCCUGAACACACUAUGGAAUGCAGCCUUUGGUAGACAACCCCUGUACAGGAGGAAAUGUUUUUCUUCAAGACCAUUUCUGAUUCUGGUUUCCUAAUUCCAUUUCUGAGCAGCUUCUCUGCACUGUGUUGGCUGUCUUUGGGAAAACAGAAGGCCUUCCUGAAGAUGAUGAAACUGUCCCUUGUCUCUCAAGCUUCACUCCAUACCCAGCCUAACAGAUUAAUUUGCUCAAGCCACAUUAAAAAAAUAAAGUCGAAAAAACUCCUUUCCUUGCACUAAGAGAGAGAACGAAUGUUUGAUGAGCACCUGUGAUGUGACGCCCUCUAGGAAAAGAAUGAUUACAUUCUAACCUUAGUGAAUUAUCACAGCUCCAUUCUUGCAUGAUGCCCAGAGUGGAAAUAACAGAACAGAGAGGUAAGUCAUCUUCUUCUGUGACUCAG
rnacentral:lncRNA from 1 species